rnacentral:pre_miRNA from 1 species
UGGUUUGAGAGGUUGAAGCUGCCAGCAUGAUCUGGUAAUUAACCACACACAUCUAUUCUUAAUUUAUUAUGCCUAGUAUAUAUAUCACUAGGAACUAAUAGUAAUAAAUUAGAGGAAAAUCUUUGUAUUGAUUUAAGAUUGGUGGUAGUAUCAAUGGUAAAAAAACAAAUGGAACUCUCUAAGAACAAGUGUUGACUUUGCCUGGCUUGGUUUUGUAAGAUUUCUUAAUCUAAAAGUGGUUCUUCAGCCAAGAAAAAAACUGAUUUUAUCCUUUAAGGACACUAGUUAGGGCAAUUGGUUAUAAAAGAUAUGGUUCCAUCAGGUCAUCUUGCAGCUUCAAUCACUCAGUCA